rnacentral:rRNA from 1 species
AGAGUUUGAUCCUGGCUCAGAACGAACGUUGGCGGCGUGGAUUAGGCAUGCAAGUCGAACGAAUCCCUGGGGGCAACUCCAGGGGGAAGUGGCGAAAGGGACAGUAAUGCGUGGGUAACCUACCCCGGGGACCGGGAUAGCCUUCCUAACGGAGGGGUAAUACCGGGCGAUGCGGCGAGAUCGCAUGAUUUUGCCGUGAAAUGAGUUUCGCCUCGGGAGGGGCUCACGUGGUAUUAGCUAGUUGGUGAGGUAACGGCUCACCAAGGCGUUGAUGCCUAGCAGGCGUGAGAGCGUGACCUGCGCCACUGGCACUGAGACACUGGCCAGACUCCUACGGGAGGCUGCAGUCGAGGAUCUUCGGCAAUGGGCGCAAGCCUGACCGAGCGACGCCGCGUGUGCGAUGAAGGCCUUCGGGUUG